UACGUAGGGGGCAAGCGUUGUCCGGAUUUAUUGGGCGUAAAGAGCGUGUAGGCGGCCAGGUAGGUCCGCUGUGAAAACUCGAGGCUCAACCUCGAGAUGUCGGCGGAAACCAUCUGGCUAGAGUCCGGAAGAGGAAAGUGGAAUUCCCGGUGUAGCGGUGAAAUGCGCAGAUAUCGGGAAGAACACCGGUGGCGAAGGCGGAUCUCUGGGCCUUACCUGACGCUCAGGUGCGAAAGCUAGGGGAGCGAACAGG
rnacentral:rRNA from 1 species